rnacentral:lncRNA from 1 species
AUGCCCCCAGGCUGCUCCAUGCAAAGAUCGGCCACUCCAAAAAGCAGCUCUGUGGCUUUGCGGUUUGCUCCUCUCCGCUCUCAAAUUGACUCUCUCCUCCAGACGGAUUCCUUUGGCUUUUUAAAUGUAACCGGUCUGGCAAAGGAGGAUUCACUCACGGUUGGACAUAAAAAUAGACAUGAGAAGGGUGGGACAUCGGCAGUAACAGCAUCAUCACACAGAUGCAGUCCUUUUUCCUGCUCACAAUUGCACCUUCCUUGCUAUGGGGAGCCAAAGGAGACACAGAUAUCUGAUGCUGAAGGGGACCCACAGCCCCAUCUCUGCCAAAGCAGCCUGAGAAAGGAUCAGCACCUACCAUGCCAUGACAUGGGGCACUCUUCUUCAGAAAUGCUGGCCAGAAGAGAGCAGUCAGACUUCCUGAAGGAUGGCUCAGCCUGCACACUGCCUGGAUGAGGCUGGCCAGCCUCGAGGAUGCUGGAAGGGAUAUGAAGCCAGGGGAUGUUCCAGGGGCUGCAGGAUGCCCUGAGAAACCAGCCGUGGCACAUCGAGCACCCAGCUGAACCCUGACCAGGGCUGUUAUCCAGGGGUACUUGGAGCACCUCUGCACCCAACUGUGCCCACAGAUCCAGGUACCACAAAACUAUCCAGAAGCCCCAAGAUGAUGCCUCGCGUUGGGCUCAUCUGCUGUUCCCAUCCCUGCAUGGGGCAGAAGUGGGGGUGUCAGGCUCAACUAGGGGUGCCAAGAGCAGAUUAGGAGGCGGUAAGAUCCUGGUCCGGGAUCACUUGAACCUGUCCAUCGGUUGAUGAGAUGGUGCAAACCUGGGCUAAGGAUUCCCAGAACAGAGAAAUACGGGACCGGGGUGUCCUGUCCGAACCAGGAGUGACCGCUCUAAGGAUGCCGAGGCCGGUGUCGGACUGUGCCAAGGGUGUCCUGCCCGAACCCAGAGUGCAGGGGACCAACUAGUGAUGCUGGGGGUGAUGCGAACCGAACCGAGGGUGCCGGGG